GAUGAACGCUGGCGGCGUGCCUAAUACAUGCAAGUCGAGCGAACGGACGAGAAGCUUGCUUCUCUGAUGUUAGCGGCGGACGGGUGAGUAACACGUGGAUAACCUACCUAUAAGACUGGGAUAACUUCGGGAAACCGGAGCUAAUACCGGAUAAUAUUUUGAACCGCAUGGUUCAAAAGUGAAAGACGGUCUUGCUGUCACUUAUAGAUGGAUCUGCGCUGCAUUAGCUAGUUGGUAAGGUAACGGCCUACCAAGGCAACGAUGCAUAGCCGACCUGAGAGGGUGAUCGGCCACACUGGAACUGAGACACGGUCCAGACUCCUACGGGAGGCAGCAGUAGGGAAUCUUCCGCAAUGGGCGAAAGCCUGACGGAGCAACGCCGCGUGAGUGAUGAAGGUCUUCGGAUCGUAAAACUCUGUUAUUAGGGAAGAACAUAUGUGUAAGUAACUGUGCACAUCUUGACGGUACCUAAUCAGAAAGCCACGGCUAACUACGUG
rnacentral:rRNA from 1 species